rnacentral:rRNA from 1 species
AUUGAACGCUGGCGGCAGGCCUAACACAUGCAAGUCGAGCGGUAGCACAGAGAGCUUGCUCUCGGGUGACGAGCGGCGGACGGGUGAGUAAUGUCUGGGAAACGGCCUGAUGGAGGGGGAUAAAUACUGGAAACGGUAGCGAAUACCGCAUAACGUCGCAAGACCAAAGAGGGGGCCCUUCGGGCCUCUUGCCAUCAGAUGUGCCGAGAUGGGAUUAGCUAGUCGGUGGGGUAAUGGCUCACCUAGGCGACGAUCCCUAGCUGGUCUGAGAGGAUGACCAGCCACACUGGAACUGAGACACGGUCCAGACUCCAACGGGAGGCAGCAGUGGGGAAUAUUGCACAAUGGGCGCAAGCCUGAUGCAGCCAUGCCGCGUGUGUGAAGAAGGCCUUCGGGUUGUAAAGCACUUUCAGCGAGGAGGAAGGCAUUAAGGUUAAUAACCUUAGUGAUUGACGUUACUCGCAGAAGAAGCACCGGCUAACUCCGUGCCAGCCGCCGCCGUAA